UUACAAGUGUUGCAGCUUAAAACCAAUAUAAUUAACGUGACAUUUACGUUCACAAAACCUUGCGAACGUAUCAAUCAGUUGUUUGUUGAACUCUACCGAAUUCCAUUCUCAUAAUUUACGCACAUUUUCAUUAUGUGCUCAUAAAAUCUGACAUUGAAUGGGUUUGCUGAUUUUUUAUGGCCAGGAAAUGAACAAUGUCGACCAAAUUCCAAGUCGGUUAUGGAACAUUGGACUUUGAUUAUACGAAUGAGAAAUAGGUAUAUCACAACGCUUACGAUCCAUCUUAAGAAUGUUGGCGCCAUUCGACUUAUAAGUUGUGUUUAGAUUCGACAACGGAUAUUACGUAGACUACAGACAAACUUGAAGCUGUGUAGUCACGCGUUUCUACAUUUGCUUAACUCCAUUAGCAAAUAUGCGUGCUGAAACAAAUACAUAGUUCUAAGCGACAUGAAACGUUCCAUUACUAAAAUACUAAUUCGGAAUCAAAGUAGGUUUUGUUUGAGAUUCAUCUAAUGCAAUCUGAACAUUUGGAUUGCAUAAUGUAGUGUGCAUAUUGCAAUGAUAAAUUCGACCCACUUAACCGGCAUGCGAUGCAUAUGGGUGCUUACAUAGGCGCUUCGUCGCACUCCCUAGCCACCUUUGUUUCAGACGCCGACUAUUGAAUGAUUAAUUCUGAAUUCUCCUUAUCUGAUUUAGUUGCUCAUCCGAACGUUGCUCCAAUUAAAACUCACGUCAUAGCCAUUGGAAUUCCAUUGUCUUGUAACAGGCUCAAGUGAUUUCAUCCUUUACUGAAAUCAAAUUAAUCUCACAGCAUCGAUUCCGAUCGUAGUGAGCAUAAAGUUGUCAAAAUUGAGAUCGACCAGCUUCGAUUCCAAAUUUAACUCGACACGAAACAGCCGGCCUCUCAGGAUUCAAGUCCUGUAACAUAACCCAUCAAAGUUAAACAAGCCAAUGAACGUUCCAAACGUACGACGAGACCACGUGAAAUUGGUGUGCAAAAUAUUAACUAAGUCUGUGUCGAGGGACAGACACGGAUAAUCUAAAUUUAUAAUUUCUCAUAAGCGAACCUCGUCGUGGAUAAUAAUGAAAAGUCAACGACUUGUCUAAUUAGUUCAAUAAACGCAACCUCGGUUAUUCACGUCGCCUUCUACUGUAAUUAUGGUGUUGUCGUUUAUUUUGUCGACAUUCCAUUCGUUUUGCCUUAUUUCGGCAUGUUUAUCUACUGGCUACAUUUUUCUGGCUUGAAACAUACGGCCUAAACGUUUUGGCCUUGUCCAUUCUCGAGGCUCGUGCUACAAACGACAAACAAUUGAAAGUAAUAAAGUAACAGAUGCGUCGAAUCCAGACGACUGAUAGCACAUUGAAAUUUAUACUGUCUAUAAUAUAGCCUGCGACUGACCUCAUUCUAAACGAACGUCUACUUAUUAUAUUAAAUAUCCAUUUGCAUCGAGACACAGUUUGAGAUGUCGGCAACCUGAAUUAUGGUAGUAAAUUGAUUCGCAUUUUCUUUUUACAAAUAUUAUUUUUAACUUUCAGAUAUGCCUAUGUAUAAUGAAAAAAUCUUGUAUUAUUCGAUAUAAAAAAAGUGUCUAUUAACAUUAGCAUAGAGAUUUUUUUUCCCUCGAAAACACUUAAUUGAAAAAAGAAUGUGAUUUAUCUGCCAAUGAUGGUGUUCUUUAGCUUUAGUCGUAGCUUUAUUCAAAAAAGCUCUGACCUACUGUGCUUUUGAAGCAUGUUCCUAUAGAACAUAAUAUAUCAGUAUAUCUAUGAACUCUUAGAAUACAAGACGUCAUCUGCAAAUUACCUAAUAAAGAUUUACAGCAGACUUGGUUCAAGAUACUUCAAAGACAGUUAUUAGUUAUUGAACGACCGAUAAUCAAAUUAAAACUAGCUACUAUUAUUUGGAGCACUCGAUAGAAUUUCAUGUGAAGAAUUUUUAUAGCGGUCACACCACAUGGCGGUCAAAGCAAAGCCCUUUAUAGUUGACAAGCUUCGAUCAAUAAUACUACUAGAUUCGCGAUUAGCGCUUCAAAAACGGCCCGAAAAAUAAGACCACAAAUAAAUUUGUGGUCUUAUUUCAAAUUAGUAUGGUCCAAUCAUAGCCAACACUAAGACGUCAAAACGCUGCAAUGCGCGUUCAAAAACUGAGUAAAAAACCACCGUAACACCAAGGUUUUGGAAGGAAUAUCUUUUUUUGAUUUCCUAGUAGCCCCUUGUCGCUGUGCACAAUGGAUAUAUAUUGUCGCGAAAGAAAGAGGAGAAGAAAUAUAGAACCCUUAUAAAAAUUCUAGAAUUGUUCAAUGGUGGUGGCAAAUCAAUGCAAAAAAGUAUUAAAAAAACUUUAUAUUUAUGUGUAAAUAUUUUAAGCGUAUAUGCUGAAAAGGAUUUGUUUUCUGGGGGAAACGAACACAGCCAUCAAAUAAGCCUAAAUUAAACUGAUUAUAGAAAAAUUCAUUGAUAUAAGAUUACAUUAUAUUUGUAAAAAAGAAACCGCUCAUAUAAAAAUGACUUCUAAAAGACAGCUUUAUAACAAACUGAAUCUGUUUAAAGGUAAUUAAACCUACAUUAUUGUUUUAAUUACUUCUGUAUAAAGAAUACGUGGAAAACAUGUUUCGUGUUUCCUUUCAUAUUAUUUUUACUUUAUUCAAUUUUAUUUUUUAUCACCUAUUUGUUGUAAUAGCGGCAAUGUAAAAUAUUAUCUACUACUUUUUUGAAUCGGUCAAAAAUAGUUGCGACCAUACAAAACAAACCUAAAACAAAUAUGUAUAUUCUGCAACUCUAUGUCUUUCAAUACUUACUGUGUUCUGAGCAUUGAAAUGUAAUACCAAGAACUACAUCUAGUUCCACAAUACAAUAAGCACGAAAUUUUAAACAAAUAUUUUUAACCUUAUAAAUUAGGCUUUAAGUAUCAUUUUAGAAUAAAUAUUUUUGUACUGAUGACUUUUUAUGUUCAA